rnacentral:rRNA from 1 species
GACAGAGGCCUCGAGCGUUAGGCGGAAUCACUGGGCUUAAAGCGUGUGUAGGCGGAUCGUUAAGUGCCUUGUGAAAUCCCACGGCUCAACCGUGGAACUGCUGGGUAUACUGGCGAUCUUGAGCCACCUAGGGGCGAGCGGAACAAGCGGUGGAGCGGUGAAAUGCGUAGAUAUCGCUUGGAACGCCAAUGGUGAAAACAGCUCGCUGGGGGUGUGCUGACGCUGAGACACGAAAGCCAGGGGAGCGAACGGG